CAUUUUUAAGAUCCCUCAUAGACUCGGGCAUGACAGAGAAAUUCACUUCAAGUUGAACUCUAGCUAUGCCUGGCUGGGCUUUUGGAUUGACAAUUUUGCAUUUCUUUUUUGGAGACAUCUGCAAAUGAUUGAAAUGA